GACGAACCGUGCGAACGUUGUUCGGAAUCACUGGGCAUAAAGGGCGCGUAGGCGGCUUAUCAAGUCAGGGGUGAAAUCCGGCAGCUUAACUGUCGAAGUGCCCUUGAUACUGACGAGCUCGAGGGAGAUAGGGGUGUGUGGGACUUCCGGUGGAGCGGUGAAAUGCGUUGAUAUCGGAAGGAACGCCGGUGGCGAAAGCGACACACUGGAUCUCUUCUGACGCUGAGGCGCGAAAGCCAGGGGAGCAAACGGG
rnacentral:rRNA from 1 species